rnacentral:rRNA from 1 species
AUUGAACGCUGGCGGCAUGCCUUACACAUGCAAGUCGAACGGCAGCAUGAUCUAGCUUGCUAGAUUGAUGGCGAGUGGCGAACGGGUGAGUAAUACAUCGGAACGUGCCCUGUAGUGGGGGAUAACUAGUCGAAAGAUUAGCUAAUACCGCAUACGACCUGAGGGUGAUAGUGGGGGACCGCAAGGCCUCAUGCUAUAGGAGCGGCCGAUGUCUGAUUAGCUAGUUGGUGAGGUAAAGGCUCACCAAGGCGACGAUCAGUAGCUGGUCUGAGAGGACGAUCAGCCACACUGGGACUGAGACACGGCCCAGACUCCUACGGGAGGCAGCAGUGGGGAAUUUUGGACAAUGGGCGAAAGCCUGAUCCAGCAAUGCCGCGUGUGUGAAGAAGGCCUUCGGGUUGUAAAGCACUUUUGUCCGGAAAGAAAUGGCUCUGGUUAAUACCUGGGGUCGAUGACGGUACCGGAAGAAUAAGGACCGGCUAACUACGUG